GUGGGGAAUAUUCCGCAAUGGGCGCAAGCCUGACGGAGCAACGCCGCGUGAAUGAAGACGGUCUUCGGAUUGUAAAGUUCUGUCAUUAGGGACGAAGGACUCAUGUAAAUAAUAUGAGGAAUGACGGUACCUAAGGAGGAAGCUCCGGCUAACUACGUGCCAGCAGCCGCGGUAAUACGUAGGGAGCAAGCGUUGUCCGGAAUUACUGGGCGUAAAGGGCGCGUAGGCGGAUAAUUAAGUCAGAUGUGAAAUCUCCAGGCUUAACUUGGAGCUAGCAUUUGGAACUUGUUAUCUUGAGGGCAGGAGAGGAAAGUGGAAUUCCUAGUGUAGCGGUGAAAUGCGUAGAUAUUAGGAGGAACACCAGUGGCGAAGGCGACUUUCUGGACUGAACCUGACGCUGAGGCGCGAAAGCAUGGGGAGCGAACGGGAUUAGAAACCCCAGUAGUCC
rnacentral:rRNA from 1 species